AGAGUUUGAUCCUGGCUCAGAGCGAACGCUGGCGGCGUGCUUAACACAUGCAAGUCGAACGCGCAGCAGUUUGUAGCAAUACAGAUUGUGGGCGCGUGGCGAACGGGUGCGUAACACGUGGAUAACCUUCCUUCAGGUGGGGAAUAACCCAGUGAAAAUUGGGCUAAUACCGCAUAACAUGACGAUGGCUCAUGCCGUUGUCUUCAAAGGCGCAAGUCGCCAGAAGAGGGAUCCGCGGCCGAUUAGCUAGUUGGCGAGGUAAUGGCUCACCAAGGCAAUGAUCGGUAGCCGGACUGAGAGGUUGGCCGGCCACACUGGAACUGAGACACGGUCCAGACUCCUACGGGAGGCAGCAGUGGGGAAUCUUGCACAAUGGACGAAAGUCUGAUGCAGCAACGCCGCGUGGGGGAUGAAGCUUUUCGGAGUGUAAACCCCUUUCGACCCGGAAGAAAGCCCGCAAGGGUUUGACGGUACGGGUAUAAGAAGCCCCGGCUAACUACGUGCCAGCAGCCGCGGUAAAACGUAGGGGGCCAGCGUUGCUCGGAAUUACUGGGCGUAAAGGGUCCGUAGGCGGUGUGGCAAGUCGGUAGUGAAAUCUCUGGGCUUAACCCAGAGGCUGCUGCCGAAACUGCCGUGCUAGAGUGUGAGAGAGGCGAGUGGAAUUACGGGUGUAGCGGUGAAAUGCGUAGAUAUCCGUAGGAACAUCCGAGGCGAAAGCGGCUCGCUGGAUCACAACUGACGCUGAGGGACGAAAGCUAGGGGAGCAAACAGGAUUAGAUACCCUGGUAGUCCUAGCCCUAAACCAUCAGACUUGGGGUGUGCCCUGUACGGGCACGUCCCGUAGCUAACGCGUUAAGUCCUGCGCCUGGGGAGUACGGUCGCA
rnacentral:rRNA from 1 species